CACCACCGGCGGACGGCUCAGUAACACGUCGGUAACCUACCCUCGGGAGGGGGAUAACCCCGGGAAACUGGGGCUAAUUCCCCAUAGGCCUGAGGUACUGGAAGGUCCUCAGGCCGAAAGGGACUUAUGUCCGCCCGAGGAUGGGCCGGCGGCCGAUUAGGUAGUUGGUGGGGUAAUGGCCCACCAAGCCGAAGAUCGGUACGGGCUGUGAGAGCAGGAGCCCGGAGAUGGACACUGAGACACGGGUCCAGGCCCUACGGGGCGCAGCAGGCGCGAAACCUCCGCAAUGCGGGAAACCGCGACGGGGGGACCCCGAGUGCCGUGGCAACGCCACGGCUUUUCCGGAGUGUAAAAAGCUCCGAGAAUAAGGGCUGGGCAAGGCCGGUGGCAGCCGCCGCGGUAAUACCGGCGGCCCGAGUGGUGGCCGCUAUUAUUGGGCCUAAAGCGUCCGUAGCCGGGCCCGUAAGUCCCUGGCGAAAUCCCACGGCUCAACCGUGGGGCUUGCUGGGGAUACUGCGGGUCUUGGGACCGGGAGAGGCGGGGGGUACCCCUGGGGUAGGGGUGAAAUCCUAUAAUCCCAGGGGGACCGCCAGUGGCGAA
rnacentral:rRNA from 1 species